AUUUUCUAUCAAAAUUUUACGUGAUUUGGAUAUUUCUACACCGUUAAACUUGCAAACGGCUCACCACGGCCAUUAAAAUCAUUGAUUUUGAGCCCCUUCGAUCACUAGGCAAAUGAUAUUGAAAAAUCACAAAAUUUAUUUUCUAGAUACUUCAAAUACUCUAGAUCAACUCUAACGGAGCCGAUCGUCAAUUCGAAAGUCUGAACAUCAAAAACAACUUAGAACCACGGAGGGCUCCGUACUUCCAUAAGCAUACCAGCCCACUCUAUAUAUAUAUAUAUAUAUAUAUAUAUAGAGUGGGGCUACUAUACUUCUGAAAGUACGGAGCCUUCCGUACUUCCAGAUAAUGUUUCGACUUUCGAAUCAUCGAUCGACUUCGUUAAAUUUGAUCUAGAGUAUUUGAAAUACUUAGAAAAUAAAUUUUAUGAUUUUUCGAUAUCAUUUGCCUAGUGAUCGAAGGGGCUCAAAAUUAAUAAUUUUAAUGGCCGUGGUGAGCCGUUUGUAAAUUUAACGGUGCAGAAAUAUUCAAAUCACGUAAAAUUUUGAUAGAAAAUUCUUUAUACUAUAUAAAAUAAGAUCAAUAUUUUUGAUCUAAAAUUUUAAUGUCAUAUUAUCACGUUUUGUAAGAUUUUUAUNAUAGAAAAUUCUUUAUACUAUAUAAAAUAAGAUCAAUAUUUUUGAUCUAAAAUUUUAAUGUCAUAUUAUCACGUUUUGUAAGAUUUUUAUUUUCAACCGUUGAUUCUGAGCCCCUUCAUUCACUAGGUAAAUAAUAUCGAAAAAUUACAAAAUUUAUUUUCUAGGUAUUUUAAAUACUCUAGAUCAAGUUUAACGAAGCCGAUCGACGAUUUGAAUGUCGCAAAAUCGAAAACGACCUGGAAGCACGGAAGGCUCCGUGCUUCCAGAAGCAUAGUAGCCACACUCUAUAUAUAUAUCACCAUCAUCCCAACCCUACAUCUCUCCAUCCAAAGGCUAAAAACUCAAAAGCACCACCCUCUUGGUGUUUUUGAGAGUAUUCUAGCUCAACUCUCUCUCUAUAUAUUAUAUAUAUAUAUAUUUUUUGAGAGAUAGGUAGCAUGCUACCCGCUUCCACUACAACAAAAACGGUCUAUAACAACAUUUUUAAAUGUCGGUACAGGUCAAAAAAAGUGCUGUUGGCUAAAUUACCGACACUUUUAAAAAGUGUUGCUAUAUGUGGGGUUGCUAGGUAUAUAGUGGCAGUUAAAGAGUGUCGCUAUAACAUAAAAAGAGUGCUGUUAAUUUACCAACACUUAUUUAAGCAUUUAGCAACCGCUGGAACUCUACCUCGUUGGAUGCGGUGGCGGAGGAGGACGAGAGGAAGAGGAAGGGAUCUUCUUCUAGGAUUUCAGUUGAUUGAGUGAGGGGAGACGGGGAAAUGGUAAUCGAUUUUUCUUUUCUUUUUCUUUUCUGUUUGUAAUCGGGCCGAAUAGGCUGGGUGGGGUGGGUUGAGUAGAAUAACCUUUUAUUUUUGGUUGGAUUGGACUUUAUAUUUAGGCAUUAGUAGAUUUUUUUAAAAUUUUGACAUAAAUGGAACACUUGCACAAAAGUGUCCUAAACAUGUGUUCCUAUAAUCUAAUUAUGUUGUAAUGUUCGUUUAUUUUAUUUAGAAAUAAAAUUUGCUGGAAAUGUAAAUCAACUAGGAUUUGAAUUUAAGUAUCAGGUACCAACCAUCAAGCUCUUUACCAAUUGCUCUAGAAACAGCCGGUUAUAUAUUAUAUAUUGUU
rnacentral:lncRNA from 1 species